rnacentral:rRNA from 1 species
AGCGGCGGACGGGUGAGUAAUGCUUGGGAACAUGCCUUGAGGUGGGGGACAACAGUUGGAAACGACCGCUAAUACCGCAAAAUGUCUACCGACCAAAGGGGGCUUCGGCUCUUGCCUUUAGAUUGGCCCAAGUGGGAUUAGCUAGUUGGUGAGGUAAUGGCUCACCAAGGCGACCAUCCCUAGCUGGUUUGAGAGGAUGAUCAGCCACACUGGGACUGAAACACGGCCCAAACUCCUACGGGAGGCAGCAGUGGGGAAUAUUGCACAAUGGGCGCAAGCCUGAUGCAGCCCUGCCGCGUGUGUGAAGAAGGCCUUCGGGUUGUAAAGCACUUUCAGUCAGGAGGAAAGGUUAGUAGUUAAUACCUGCUAGCUUUGACGUUACUGACAGAAGAAGCACCGGCUAACUCCCUGCCAGCAGCCGCGGUAAUACGGAGGGUGCGAGCGUUAAUCGGAAUUACCGGGCGUAAAGCGUACGCAGGCGGUUUGUUAAGCGAGAUGUGAAAGCCCCGGGCUCAACCUGGGAACUGCAUUUCGAACUGGCAAACUAGAGUGUGAUAGAGGGUGGUAGAAUUUCAGGUGUAGCGGUGAAAUGCGUAGAGAUCUGAAGGAAUACCGAUUGCGAAAGCAGCCACCUGGGUCAACACUGACGCUCAUGUACGAAAGCGUGGGGAGCAAACAGGAUUAGAUACCCUGGUAGUCCACGCCGUAAACGAUGUCUACUAGAAGCUCGGAACCUCGGUUCUGUUUUUCAAAGCUAACGCAUUAAGUAGACCGCCCGGGGAGUACGGCCGCAAGGUUAAAACUCAAAUGAAUUGACGGGGGCCCGCACAAGCGGUGGAGCAUGUGGUUUAAUUCGAUGCAACGCGAAGAACUUACCUACACUUGACUACAGAGAACUACCAGAGAUGGUUGGUGCCUUCGGGACUCUGAUACAGUGCUGCAGGCUUCGUCACUCGGUUUGAGAUUUGGGUAAGUCCGCACGAGGCAACCCUAUCUUAUUGCUGCAGUAAGCUGAGAUCUAGGGACGCGUGAUAACCGAGAAGGUGGGACAACUCAGCUCAGGCCU